GACAGCCCCGUACACAAAAAUGCACAUAUUGUGAGCUCGAUGAGUAGGGCGGGACACGUGGUAUCCUGUCUGAAUAUGGGGGGACCAUCCUCCAAGGCUAAAUACUCCUGACUGACCGAUAGUGAACCAGUACCGUGAGGGAAAGGCGAAAAGAACCCCGGCGAGGGGAGUGAAAAAGAACCUGAAACCGUGUACGUACAAGCAGUGGGAGCCUCUUUAUGGGGUGACUGCGUACCUUUUGUAUAAUGGGUCAGCGACUUAUAUUCUGUAGCAAGGUUAACCGAAUAGGGGAGCCGAAGGGAAACCGAGUCUUAACUGGGCGUUAAGUUGCAGGGUAUAGACCCGAAACCCGGUGAUCUAGCCAUGGGCAGGUUGAAGGUUGGGUAACACUAACUGGAGGACCGAACCGACUAAUGUUGAAAAAUUAGCGGAUGACUUGUGGCUGGGGGUGAAAGGCCAAUCAAACCGGGAGAUAGCUGGUUCUCCCCGAAAGCUAUUUAGGUAGCGCCUCGUGAAUUCAUCUCCGGGGGUAGAGCACUGUUUCGGCAAGGGGGUCAUCCCGACUUACCAACCCGAUGCAAACUGCGAAUACCGGAGAAUGUUAUCACGGGAGACACACGGCGGGUGCUAACGUCCGUCGUGAAGAGGGAAACAACCCAGACCGCCAGCUAAGGUCCCAAAGUCAUGGUUAAGUGGGAAACGAUGUGGGAAGGCCCAGACAGCCAGGAUGUUGGCUUAGAAGCAGCCAUCAUUUAAAGAAAGCGUAAUAGCUCACUGGUCGAGUCGGCCUGCGCGGAAGAUGUAACGGGGCUAAACCAUGCACCGAAGCUGCGGCAGCGACACUAUGUGUUGUUGGGUAGGGGAGCGUUCUGUAAGCCUGUGAAGGUGGCCUGUGAGGGUUGCUGGAGGUAUCAGAAGUGCGAAUGCUGACAUAAGUAACGAUAAAGCGGGUGAAAAGCCCGCUCGCCGGAAGACCAAGGGUUCCUGUCCAACGUUAAUCGGGGCAGGGUGAGUCGACCCCUAAGGCGAGGCCGAAAGGCGUAGUCGAUGGGAAACAGGUUAAUAUUCCUGUACUUGGUGUUACUGCGAAGGGGGGACGGAGAAGGCUAUGUUGGCCGGGCGACGGUUGUCCCGGUUUAAGCGUGUAGGCUGGUUUUCCAGGCAAAUCCGGAAAACCAAGGCUGAGGCGUGAUGACGAGGCACUACGGUGCUGAAGCGACAAAUGCCCUGCUUCCAGGAAAAGCCUCUAAGCAUCAGGUAACAUCAAAUCGUACCCCAAACCGACACAGGUGGUCAGGUAGAGAAUACCAAGGCGCUUGAGAGAACUCGGGUGAAGGAACUAGGCAAAAUGGUGCCGUAACUUCGGGAGAAGGCACGCUGAUAUGUAGGUGAAGCGACUUGCUCGUGGAGCUGAAAUCAGUCGAAGAUACCAGCUGGCUGCAACUGUUUAUUAAAAACACAGCACUGUGCAAACACGAAAGUGGACGUAUACGGUGUGACGCCUGCCCGGUGCCGGAAGGUUAAUUGAUGGGGUUAGCGGUAACGCGAAGCUCUUGAUCGAAGCCCCGGUAAACGGCGGCCGUAACUAUAACGGUCCUAAGGUAGCGAAAUUCCUUGUCGGGUAAGUUCCGACCUGCACGAAUGGCGUAAUGAUGGCCAGGCUGUCUCCACCCGAGACUCAGUGAAAUUGAACUCGCUGUGAAGAUGCAGUGUACCCGCGGCAAGACGGAAAGACCCCGUGAACCUUUACUAUAGCUUGACACUGAACAUUGAGCCUUGAUGUGUAGGAUAGGUGGGAGGCUUUGAAGUGUGGACGCCAGUCUGCAUGGAGCCGACCUUGAAAUACCACCCUUUAAUGUUUGAUGUUCUAACGUUGGCCCGUAAUCCGGGUUGCGGACAGUGUCUGGUGGGUAGUUUGACUGGGGCGGUCUCCUCCUAAAGAGUAACGGAGGAGCACGAAGGUUGGCUAAUCCUGGUCGGACAUCAGGAGGUUAGUGCAAUGGCAUAAGCCAGCUUGACUGCGAGCGUGACGGCGCGAGCAGGUGCGAAAGCAGGUCAUAGUGAUCCGGUGGUUCUGAAUGGAAGGGCCAUCGCUCAACGGAUAAAAGGUACUCCGGGGAUAACAGGCUGAUACCGCCCAAGAGUUCAUAUCGACGGCGGUGUUUGGCACCUCGAUGUCGGCUCAUCACAUCCUGGGGCUGAAGUAGGUCCCAAGGGUAUGGCUGUUCGCCAUUUAAAGUGGUACGCGAGCUGGGUUUAGAACGUCGUGAGACAGUUCGGUCCCUAUCUGCCGUGGGCGCUGGAGAACUGAGGGGGGCUGCUCCUAGUACGAGAGGACCGGAGUGGACGCAUCACUGGUGUUCGGGUUGUCAUGCCAAUGGCACUGCCCGGUAGCUAAAUGCGGAAGAGAUAAGUGCUGAAAGCAUCUAAGCACGAAACUUGCCCCGAGAUGAGUUCUCCCUGAGACUUAGAGUCUCCUGAAGGAACGUUGAAGACGACGACGUUGAUAGGCCGGGUGUGUAAGCGCAGCGAUGCGUUGAGCUAACCGGUACUAAUGAACCGUGAGGCUUAACCUU
rnacentral:rRNA from 1 species